CAGGCCUAACACAUGCAAGUCGAGCGGUAAGGCUUCGGGGUACACGAGCGGCGAACGGGUGAGUAACACGUGGGUGAUCUGCCCUGCACUUCGGGAUAAGCCUGGGAAACUGGGUCUAAUACCGGAUAUGACCUCCUAUCGCAUGGUGGGUGGUGGAAAGAUUUAUCGGUGCAGGAUGGGCCCGCGGCCUAUCAGCUUGUUGGUGGGGUAAUGGCCUACCAAGGCGACGACGGGUAGCCGACCUGAGAGGGUGACCGGCCACACUGGGACUGAGACACGGCCCAGACUCUACGGGAGGCAGCAGUGGGGAAUAUUGCACAAUGGGCGAAAGCCUGAUGCAGCCAUGCCGCGUGUGUGAAGAAGGUCUUCGGAUUGUAAAGCACUUUAAGUUGGGAGGAAGAGCAGUUACCUAAUACGUGAUUGUUUUGACGUUACCGACAGAAUAAGCACCGGCUAACUCCGUGCCAGCAGCCGCGGUAAU
rnacentral:rRNA from 1 species